CAGAUAUUUAAUCUUCUGGUUGUUUUCUACUGACUUCCUGGGGCAAAGUCAAUUGCUCCAUCCUGUCGGCUAUCACGGAAGCGGUGGCUUUGUCUUCACAUUUUGUGUAGCCAUACUGUUAAAGCCUGCUGGAUUUUCAGGGGCCACUGCUGAUCCUCAAGCUCUGAAUGUCAGCCAAUUAGUGGAGAAGUUUUCCAUGGCUGCUGCCCUAACCAGGCUUCCUGUCUGACAGCCCCAUUCUCAGCCUCAACCAGGGAGUUGAUUAACUGUGGGAUGAGGAACUUGCAGAUACUGAGGGCCAACUGUUUUAUAUCUGCUAUAUGGACAUGAGAAAG